rnacentral:siRNA from 1 species
UCCGUGCUGAUUGUCUUGGUA